CGCCAUUAAUCAUAUAUAUAUUGUGGGAGUAAUAUGGAAAGGCAUUCAUAUAUUCGGAAUCAUACACAUCAGAGCUCGCCAUUGUAGGUCCCAACACAAUCAUUAAUAUACAAAUUCAAAAUUCCUUUUAUAAAAGAAAAUAGAAAAUUAUACAACUUGAAAAGGAGCUAAAAUAAUUAAAGAAAAGUAGAGUCUCAUGCCACUAUCACAUAGCUAGUGAGAGCAGCGUACAACUUCUCUUUCACUAUUUCCCCCUCUGUUAUUUUCAUAUAUGGAAUACAAAAGUAUACCAAUCACAGUAAGCAAAACAUUGAAAAACUUUAAUCUGAAGAAAUAUAUAUAUAUUGAAAUAAAAAUCCCAUCAUAUUGUGCAUUUGAUAAUUUAUUAGGCGCACUUGAAGCCCUUUGGAACCUUCUUGGAGCAAACAUUGAGAAGCAGACUAAGAGAAACGGGAACGUUAAGGUUGAUGCCCAAAACAUUGGCCUUGAUGGCGGUGCAGAGGCACACGGCCGCCUCGAGAUCGGCCAGCCCUUCGAGAAGGGUGCAGCAUGGAGUUUUUGGAGGAGUUCCAAUUGUGACACCAAUCAACCCACCAAGCAAAUCAGCACAUACACCUAGUUUUAGGGUAUCCCUAGGGCAAGUGGCCUUGCUCGGGGUGGCCGGGGGCGGAGGGCAUGGAGUCGGCUUAGGUGGUGGUGGCGGCGGCUUUGGUUUGGGAGUAGGGCAAGAGCCACAUGCACUAGAAAGAGUGAAGAAUACAAGGUUUAGCACUAAGAAAAGGGCAAUUGAUGUGGUUUUCUUGGAACCCAUUUUAUCUCUAGGCAAGGUUUUUUGGUAUAACAAGUUGCUUGGACAUUUCUGGGAUGUGUAAAUUUGAUGCAAGAAAUGGGGUUUUUAUAGGCUAGAGAAAGAUACUUAUUCUUAAGGUGAAUGAUGAAUAAAUUUUGAGAGUGGUGGAUUGUAGCUGGCACAACAUGUAGCAUACGUUUGGCAAAGUUUUGGAUGCAUGUGAAUAUAAGGAUUGCAAAUUGCCGUGUUCCUUUGCUCGAUUCCAUGACUAUGGCUUUGUCUAAAUUAUCUUUGCUUGAGACAUUUCAAUGUCUGCAAUACAGAGUAAAUUAAGCGUGUCCC
rnacentral:lncRNA from 1 species